rfam:Oryza sativa Japonica Group DNA, chromosome 1, cultivar: Nipponbare, complete sequence.
AUAUUCUUAGGCCUGAUCUUGAGGCAGAAACUGAGUAGUUGGUGAACUCGCUCUAUGUUGUUCGUUCACUCGCGACACGGUUCCUGUCCCAAGAUCGAGUCUAUGAAUAU